UUAUGCUGCUACAUAAAUUAUAUUUAUUACAUCAUUUUUCAAGACUGAUUUCACUUCUCCUUUACUCAAUUAUCAAUUUUUUAAAAAAUAUUUUAGAACCAGAUGCUCCGCAGGGUACAGCUUUAUACGACCGCAGAGGUUGAACCCUAAACGGUUGGGGCAAGUAUGGGCACAACAUUCAAGCUGGAUUCAGCUCUAAAUUUGGAUUGUGAUUAAAUAGUUGACACAGCAUAGGUUUCUGACACAGAAUGAAUGUGGUCUAAUGAACUUAAAAUAUUUUUUUUGCCUUUGAGCAAUUCACUAUGUUGUUAAAUAUUAAUCCUCUCAAAAAAAAUGUUUGAAGAAAUUUUCUUUUUAUUUAUGAAAUCUGAAAUGAGAAAAAUUUACCCCCCCCCCCCCCCAUUUUUUUUUACAUCCUUUCCCUUUUUCCAAAAAUGAUCUCAAUUCAAAUUUCUAAUGGAGUUUGCAAC
rnacentral:lncRNA from 1 species